rnacentral:piRNA from 1 species
AAGGGGAAAGUAAAGCUGGCAGCC